AGACAGCGAUCUUUUGUAUGUUGUUAUAAUUAACCGGGCCCGUUUCAUCAUCAGAUGAUAGAAUGGGAUGCAGUGUUAAAAAAAGAACUAAAGGAAGAAACCAGGAGAAAUGGCCAUUUUAAUUGCAUGUUUAUUCUCUCUUCGCUUUCCCAAAUUGGUUUCGUUUCCUCUGAGUGGGGGGAACGUAUUGACUUACCGCCAGGCGUCUGGGUGUCACAGACAGAGCCUCUGCUGAACUGACAGAUGAACAGGGCAGAGCCUUCGGGGGAGCAGUGGUGUGGAAGACUGUCUUCCACGAUGCAUCAGUUGCCUGGUUGCUCACCAUUAUCCCUCAGAUCAUCUAGAGAGGGAUGGCUUCCACCCUUCUUGUAACAUUGACAGACUCACCAACUGGGGAGGGGAAUUUCCUGCAAAUAAAAGUAUUCUCUGUAAAACUUCUUACUCACCUUCUCCCCAGAUCAGUACAAGAACAGGAAAGAGAGGAACUCAAAGGAGAGAGGAUAAGGAAGUCCAAUCAAGUUUGGAGGAUAUGUAGCUGUUGGUGCCAAUGGAGUAUUUCAAUGGCAAUGGUGCAUGGGCGUGUUCUAAAGACAUAAAACCAAGAUCAAGCUUGGUCCUUCCCAGGGCAACACUUUCUUCAAGACCCAGGUGAAGACUUAUUGUUAAAGGUGCAGAUGACAUGAAGUUGAAGGAAUCAUAAAGAUUGUCUUUUUACUGAACCAAUGACAUGUUUAUGUAAAUAGAAAUAUGCCAUAAUAAAACCCACCAUUCAGUAUGAUAGACAACAAUGAAAUGUAUUUUAUGUCAAAAUCAGGUAUCAAUUCUUAGGUCAGUGAAAAUACACUGCAUGAUGCCAAAUGUUGAACAUUUGUCCAAAAUGUUCCAAAGAGUUAACCCAAGGGCAAAUUGUGAAUUUUAGGUGAUAGUAAUUGUCCAUAUAGGCUCAUCAAUUGUAGCAAAUGUCCCACUCGGGUGGGAUAAUAAUGCAGGAUGCUGUUCAUGUGUGGAGGCAGAGGGUAUGUGGAAAAUUCUGAAACUUCCUCCUAGUUUUCCUGUAAAAAUAAAACUUCUUUAAACAAAAUUAUUAAAAAUUUAAAAAAAGAGGGAAAAAUACUAAGAUGGUUGCCUGGUACCAGAGACAGGGAGGACUAGGGAGUACAGAAUUUUAGUUUGGGGAAUAUGCAAAAGUUCUGGAGAUGCAUGUUGGUGAUCAUGGCCAAACAAUGUGAAUGUGCUUAGUGCCACUGAACUGUAUAUUUUAAAAUCUUGUUAUGUAUAUUUUAACAUAACAAAAAAUAAGAAGCAAGGUUUGGAUAACAAUAACAACAACAACAAUAAAAAACUCAAGUAUACAAAAAAUCUUUAAAAAACGAGACAGUUAAAAUUUAACAUGAAUAAUAGGAAACGUAAUACCUGAAUAUCAGUGUGGUUUAAUGUGAAAUUUGAAACUUGGAAUGUGAAAACUAUAGAAGACUUGGGUAAAUGCAGUCAAUGUGAAAAGUUUCUGAUUAUUCUGCUCCCAUGUAAAAGUUUUAGAAGAUGCUGGUCAGCCUACUCCAUCUCUACAAAGAUGUUGUGUUCCUUUUCUUUAGAUCUCCCAUACCUAUUUUGAGAUUCCUUUUAAAGAGCUCAUGAUUUUAUCCUAAUUUAUAUAUAUGAAUAUAUAUUACCAUAUGAUUGUAUAUACACGUAGGUUCCAGAAGAUAAAACAUUAGUGGGAUUAAUAUCCUAAG